rnacentral:rRNA from 1 species
UACGGGGGGGGCAAGCGUUGUUCGGAAUUACUGGGCGUAAAGGGCUUGUAGGUGGCCAACUAAGUCAGACGUGAAAUCCCUCAGCUUAACUGGGGAACUGCUUCUGAUACUGGAUGGCUUGAGUUUGGGAGAGGGAUGCAGAAUUCCAGGUGUAGCGGUGAAAUGCGUAGAUAUCUGGAGGAACACCGGUGGCGAAGGCGGCAUCCUGGACCAACACUGACACUGAAAAGCGAAAGCCAGGGGAGCAAACGGG